UACGUAGGGUGCGAGCGUUGUCCGGAAUUAUUGGGCGUAAAGAGCUUGUAGGCGGUUUGUCGCGUCUGCUGUGAAAAUCCGGGGCUCAACCCCGGACUUGCAGUGGGUACGGGUAGACUGGAGUGUGGUAGGGGAGACUGGAAUUCCUGGUGUAGCGGUGGAAUGCGCAGAUAUCAGGAGGAACACCGAUGGCGAAGGCAGGUCUCUGGGCCACUACUGACGCUGAGAAGCGAAAGCAUGGGGAGCGAACAGG
rnacentral:rRNA from 1 species